rnacentral:rRNA from 1 species
AGCCGCCGCGGUAAUACGAAGGGACCUAGCGUAGUUCGGAAUUACUGGGCUUAAAGAGUUCGUAGGUGGUUGAAAAAGUUGGUGGUGAAAUCCCAGAGCUUAACUCUGGAACUGCCAUCAAAACUUUUCAGCUAGAGUAUGAUAGAGGAAAGCAGAAUUUCUAGUGUAGAGGUGAAAUUCGUAGAUAUUAGAAAGAAUACCAAUUGCGAAGGCAGCUUUCUGGAUCAUUACCGACACUGAGGAACGAAAGCAUGGGUAGCGAAGAGGAUUAGAUACCCUCGUAGUCCAUGCCGUAAACGAUGUGUGUUAGACGUUGGAAAUUUAUUUUCAGUGUCGCAGCGAAAGCGAUAAACACACCGCCUGGGGAGUACGACCGCAAGGUUAAAACUCAAAUGGAUUGACGGGGACCCGCACAAGUAGUGGAGCAUGUGGCUUAAUUCGAAGAUACGCGCAGAACCUUACCAACACUUGACAUGUUCGUCGCGACUUUAAGAGAUUAAAGUUUUCGGUUCGGCCGGACGAAACACAGGUGCUGCAUGGCUGUCGUCAGCUCGUGUCGUGAGAUGUUGGGUUAAGUCCCGCAACGAGCGCAACCCUCACUUUUAGUUGCCAUCAUUUAGUUGGGCACUCUGAAAGAACUGCCAGUGAUAAGCUGGAGGAAGGUGGGGAUGACGUCAAGUCCUCAUGGCCCUUACGUGUUGGGCUACACACGUGCUACAAUGGUAUCUACAACAGGAAGCAAAACUGCGAAGUUAAGCAAAUCCUUAAAAGAUACCUCAGUUCGGAUUGCACUCUGCAACUCGAGUGCAUGAAGCUGGAAUUACUAGUAAUCGUGGAUCAGCGUGCCACGGUGAAUGCGUUCCCGGGUCUUGUACACACCGCCCGUCACACCAUGGGAGUUGGUUCUACCUUAAGGCAAGGUUUCAAACCCUUGACCACGGUAUAGUCAGCGACUGGGGUGAAGUCGUAACAAGGUAGCCG